GACGAACGCUGGCGGCGUGCCUAAUACAUGCAAGUCGAACGCAGUGGGGACGGGUGAGUAACCCGUGGGUAACCUCCCAUCAGAGGGGAUAACACUUGGAAACCGGUGCUAAACCGAUACUGUUGGCUGGACCCGCGGGGCAUUAGCUAGUUGGUGGGGUAACGGCUCACCAAGGCCACGAUGCAUAGUCGACCUGAGAGGAUGAUCGGCCACACUGGAACUGAGACACGGCCCAGACUCCUACGGGAGGCAGCAGUAGGGAAUCUUCGGCAAUGGGCGAAAGUCUGACCGAGCCACGCCGCGUGAGUGAAGAAGGUCUUCGGGUUGUAAAGCACUGUUGUUAGGGAAGCGUUAUCUGACCAAGAAGCACCGGCUAACUACGUGCCAGCAGCCGCGGUAAUAC
rnacentral:rRNA from 1 species